AGGAGUGAAUGCUUUGUUGCUGAUUCAUCUCUGAGGACGUCAGAAUGUCCUGUGGUGGUGAAGCAAAGGGAAGGCCUGGGUCCUGAAGGAACUCACUGUGGGCUCCUAGGUCACUGCUCCAUCCUUGGACCUCAGUAACAGGAUCUUCACUUCAGUGGUUUUGCUCCAGCCUCCCUCCAACCCCAGGAAAUUUGUCUCCACCACCACCAC